rnacentral:rRNA from 1 species
UGCCAGCCGCCGCGGUAAGACAGAGGGUGCAAACGUUGUUCGGAAUUACUGGGCGUAAAGCGCGUGUAGGCUGUCGUGCAAGUCGGAUGUGAAAGCCCUGGGCUCAACCCAGGAAGUGCACUCGAAACUGCAAGACUUGAAUCUCGGAGAGGGUAGCGGAAUUCUGGGUGUAGAGGUGAAAUUCGUAGAUAUCCAGAGGAACACCAGUGGCGAAGGCGGCUUUCUGGACCGAUACUGACGCUGAGACGCGAAAGCGUGGGGAGCAAACAGGAUUAGAUA